rnacentral:rRNA from 1 species
GUGGGGAAUAUUGGACAAUGGGCGAAAGCCUGAUCCAGCAAUGCCGCGUGAGUGAUGAAGGCCUUAGGGUUGUAAAGCUCUUUUACCAGGGAUGAUAAUGACAGUACCUGGAGAAUAAGCUCCGGCUAACUCCGUGCCAGCAGCCGCGGUAAUACGGAGGGAGCUAGCGGUGUUCGGAAUUACUGGGCGUAAAGCGCGCGUAGGCGGCUCAGCAAGUCAGGGGUGAAAUCCCGGGGCUCAACCCCGGAACUGCCUUUGAAACUGCUAGGCUAGAAUCCUGGAGAGGCGAGUGGAAUUCCGAGUGUAGAGGUGAAAUUCGUAGAUGUUCGGAAGAACACCAGUGGCGAAGGCGACUCGCUGGACAGGUAUUGACGCUGAGGUGCGAAAGCGUGGGGAGCAAACAGGAUUAGAAACCCGGGUAGUCC